AUCUGCACUUAGUCCCACUUCAAAUCAUCGUUCAUAACAUUCACUGCCCGAUUUAUCUUCCUUAUAGAUCUUGAGAUGUCAUCUCUCUGCUUAAUUCAUUCUUGGACCUCACUGUGUGACUGUAGAGAAAAAAGCGAGGCACAAAGAAGAAAAGUGAUUGAUUUCGGAUCAUGAACAGGGAAGGUCAAAACUGGAAAAAGAACACAGGAGUCCAUAUUUCCUUUCCAACGUUCUCACCAAGUUCACUACUGAUGCUAGUCCCCUUUACCCAUACCCAUGGUAGGGGGAAAAAAAGUCAAAUUGGAACGGCCAGAUCUUGUGACUUUUUUGAAAUAGACUUUUGAACCUUAAAAUCUUACUUUCCUAUAAUAUUCUAGGAUACAUGA